CACCUUCUUCUUCGGCCAACACCACCCCAAAAGAACGUAACACCAACACCAACCCUUCCUUGUUUUGGCCGGAGAAUCCAAAUCUGGCCUUAACUUUCCCUAAAUCUCUCUCAAACAACCGGAUCGGCACUCAAAGCGAAACAAAAACCUCAACCCUCAACCGAAGCGACAUUCAACGCGACCAAACAAAACCCUACACUCCUCCUAACCAACAAAUCAAAACAAAUCAACAACAAAAAACAGUUCAAACAGUAAACCCUAAUUUUGAAAUUAAAACCUCCACAGUUGCGAUUUAAAGAAAAUAUCAAGGGGUUUUUACUCAGUUUGGAAAGGCGAAUGAGAUCGUAUGUAGAUUUCAAGCAAAGGAGGGAGAAGAAGACUACUCAAUCGGAGCUGGUCCGGCGGCGAUGCUUUCUCCGGCGCGAUUCAGAUAAGUUUCCUCCUUUUAUUUAAAUCUCUCCUUCUUCACCUUCUUCGUGUUCGGCGUUUUAGCUUGGUUACUUCAAAGUUUCAAUGAGAAACUUUGAAUAACUUAGGGCUUUCAAGCUUUGUGUGAGGUGUUUGGGAUUGAAUUCGACAGCGUUUUCGUAGGGUCUCCAAUCCUCUCAGAUUCGUUAUUUCCGCCUCCUUUUUAUAGGAGAAUUUCUUUUUAGGAUAAGAAUUGGUGAGUUGUGUUUUUGCUGAUAGUACUAAAUCCAUUAGGGAUUUCCGCGCGUCCCUAAUUCUGUGGAAGUUGUUUUG
rnacentral:lncRNA from 1 species